CUUCGUCAUGGCUCUCUGUUGGGUGAACAUUUGAAGUCACGAGUGCUCUGAGCCCCCCCACCCGCCACGUCCUCAGCUCCCUCCCUGGUCUCCCUGUGUCGGAGAUGGGGGCACCCCCGGAGCGGCGUCAUCUCUGACGACGACCGCCCGCUCUUCAGCCGGAACCUCAGCAAUGAAUAAGGGCUGAUUUCUUCUCAAAUGAUCACCGCCCCCAAUUCAUCACAUUCAAAGGACUUGUGCGCAGUGGCUCAUCGGGUGCCGGGCGAGGUGGUGCUUUCUGGAACAUCGCGCUGAGCAUCCGGGAUGCGCACCAGCUGUGACGUAGAUUUGGGCUUAUUUUGCGCUCUCUCCACCCUGUGAUUUUUCUCCUCUCUGUGCCUGCUCCCCUGCAGCCGAGCUUCCUCUGUGGGAGCCAUUCAGAGGGAGUCUCUCUGGUUUGAGCUCCUAGGAGAGGAAUUGCAUCUCGUCAUUUGGAUUCUGCAUAGCACCUCGGAGCACCACACACCCAGAGACGAGGCUGUCUCAACAGCUGUGGAAGCUGUGGUCCAAGCAGAUGGUUCAGGGCGUUUGCCUUUGACUAAAGACGUAGUCUGCCUCUUCUGCGAUGCUUGUCCCUUGUGCUCUUCAAGGUCAUUCAGGGAGGACAGUGACCUACUUAUUGUCACCCAUUCCUCCCCAGCCCCCACCCCCAGCAGGCCAGCCAGGUUAGCCCUGAAGUCCCAGAAGGUGACGGAGGCCUAGUCCCCACUGUCCCAGGUCUGCAUGGAGAUAUUAGCCAUUACAACUUGCGCUGGGCCUGGGAGUGUCCAUGGGGAGGGGACAGGCUGGGAACAAGCAAGAAUCAGUAGUCUUGCAGAGGUGCUGGUUAAGUGAGCCUGGCUCAGGGACCACCUGGAGCUCUUGAAAGCAAGGCCUAUGUCUUAGCUUGUUGUGGCUGCAGAGAGCCUAGCUUAGCCUCUGGCAGGGGAGAUAUUCACAGAGUAUCUCCUGAAUGGAUCACUGCUGUGUAGUAACAAAGCUACCAGAAGCUCGUGCAGAGAACCUGGAGGACAGAGGUGAAUAACUACAUCCUCUGUCCACCUUGUGACUUCAUCCCUUUGGUGUGUGGCCAAGUUCUGAGUCCCAUAGAAAGUACAGAAAAGGCCUUUUUCCUCCCGUUAGUUACAAAAUCUCUGAUUCCCCUGAAAAAUGGGGGCACAUUUCCAAAUUCAAGAUUUUAUGUAGCUUGGA